rnacentral:rRNA from 1 species
UACGGAGGGUGCGAGCGUUAAUCGGAAUAACUGGGCGUAAAGGGCACGCAGGCGGGCUGAUAAGUAAGGUGUGAAAUACCGGGGCUCAACCUCGGGGCUGCAUUUUAAACUGUCAGUCUAGAGUAUUGCAGAGGGAGACGGAAUUCCGGGUGUAGCGGUGAAAUGCGUAGAUAUCCGGAAGAACACCGGAGGCGAAGGCGGUCUUCUGGGCAAAUACUGACGCUCAGGUGCGAAAGCGUGGGGAGCAAACAGG